rnacentral:rRNA from 1 species
UACGGGGGGUGCGAGCGUUGUCCGGAAUCACUGGGCGUAAAGGGCGCGUAGGGGGUUUGAUAAGGGUGUGGUGAAAGCCCGGAGCUCAACUCCGGGUCGGCCGUCGAGACUCCUCGGCUCGAGCUCACUAGAGGCAGAUGGAAUUCCGGGUGUAGCGGUGGAAUGCGUAGAGAUCCGGAAGAACACCGGUGGCGAAGGCGGUCUGCUGGGGUGAGGCUGACGCUGAUGCGCGACAGCGUGGGGAGCAAACAGG